UCCUGUUGGUCUUUUAUUUUUUCCUUCAUGGUGGAAAUGGGCUUCCAUAAUAACUUGCAAAAAGGAAAAAAAUAAAUUCUGGUCAGGAGUAUGUAAACAUGGCAUGAAACUUUUUGCCUUUGGUCUGGUCUUCAAACUUUCUCGCCCUUUUCCCCCCCCUCACAGAUCUGCUGUGUAUAACACUGCAUGUGGCAGUAUUUUCUUCUUUUCAGACACUGUCUUCACAACAUUUGCCAGGUAAUCAAAAAGCUCCCACACAAAUGGAGCUCUCCGGCAGUAUGCAGUGUAAUGUCCCAGUCCAUCUUUGGUCAAGCUUCCCCUGAAAGCGACGACUGCUCUCAAAGUAAAUUUUUUUCCUUGCAGAACCAUAGUGGAGGGAAAUUCACUCAAAGCAAAUUCAGUUGAAUUUGGAAGGUCUGUGUCAAUCCAUGCUAUUUCUCCGAUAUUGUAGUUGUGAGUAACGGUUCCUGCACAGAGAGCAUUUCCUGAAGUGCUGGCUCCUGUUUUUAAUUCUGCUGGACAUUCUGAUUCAUUCUGCAGUGGUCUGAGGCAGGGAGACUGUGGAAGGAAGAGUCAUUUUUCUAUGGAAGUGUGAAGCUGAGCCAUACCAGAAUUCUUCAGGACAGAAAUGUCUGGUGAAACAAAUGUGGCAAUAUUGCACUGUGCAUCGAUUUGAUGAUGAAUCUGCAUGGAGCCAUUCAGUGCAGGAACUCAAGUAUGAAGUCCUCUUCCUCUUUUUGGGUGGAAGAAUUUGUCCUCUCCAGUUUUCAACCACGUUUUCAUCUGCUGUGGAAAGAGCAAAUCCGCAUAUUUCCUUCGAUGAAGGAAAGGUGCCAAGAAAUGAAGCGAUCCACUCGAAUGGGCAAGUUCUCAUGUUUGAACAGGCCAUGUUUUACAUUUUUGAAUUUGGCUUCAACAUUGGCAGAGCUUGCUGUGAGACUGGUGCUUUUGAAGAGGGGAACCAUUAUUCCUGUCCACAGUGUCUCGUAGGUCAGUCUGGAUGUCAUUACAUGGAUCCACUUGAUGAACUUCCUUUGUGUCUUCAUCUGGAAUUAUGAUGGAGUCUUCUGCAAUCUGGGUUUUCAGGCAGUCCCACUGGCAGACCAUCUUUAUGCAGUGGGCAACAUCAACCCUGAUAUAACAGGGAGGAAGUUUUGCAGACUGGUUCCCAAGUAGCACAUGGAAGCAUUCAUCAAUGUAUGAUUUCAGGUUAGGACAAGGAGUGAAGGCCUUCACCAGAGCACCAAGAAUAGCCAGGGAAAAGUCACUCACAGCUUCUUUUGAACACCUUGGUAUAAGAAGAUGUGGCCAGAUGUACCAUUUGGUCUUGCCAGUUUUCUGACAACUGAACCAGUUGCAUCAAAGCAAACUACUGAGGGACAUUUUUUGGUUGCCAGGUUUGGAAGGUGACUUGGCUCGGGAUCUCCAAUAUCCAUCAACUCUGAUGCCUUUGCUGACCUCCAUACAGAUGGUUCCAUCCUGCCCUCACACAACUCUUCUGAAAUCUGUGCACGAAGGGUUCCUGACAUGAAUCUUUUGGAUUGGCCAGUGUGCAGGGAGAUGUGGGCGAGAUGCUUUAUACGUGUCCAGAACUGCUGCCGUCGUGUUUACAGAGAGAAAACUACAGCAGGUUGUUAAUGU